UACGAAGGGGGCUAGCGUUGCUCGGAAUGACUGGGCGUAAAGGGCGCGUAGGCGGUUCAUACAGUCAGAUGUGAAAUUCCUGGGCUCAACCUGGGGGGCUGCAUUUGAUACGUGUGGACUAGAGUGGGGAAGAGGGUCGUGGAAUUCCCAGUGUAGAGGUGAAAUUCGUAGAUAUUGGGAAGAACACCGGUGGCGAAGGCGGCGACCUGGUCCUUGACUGACGCUGAGGCGCGAAAGCGUGGGGAGCAAACAGG
rnacentral:rRNA from 1 species